UACUUGAUUAGUUUAUUAAAAUAUUAAAUUGUGGAUUUAAAGAAGUGUUAACAUUAAGUAA
rnacentral:tRNA from 1 species